rnacentral:rRNA from 1 species
UACGUAGGGACCAAGCGUUGUCCGGAUUUACUGGGCGUAAAGGGCGCGUAGGCGGCAAUUCAAGUCAGCUGUGAAAUCUCCGGGCUUAACUCGGAACGGUCAGCUGAUACUGCUUUGCUAGAGUGCAGAAGGGGCAAUCGGAAUUCUUGGUGUAGCGGUGAAAUGCGUAGAUAUCAAGAGGAACACCUGAGGUGAAGACGGGUUGCUGGGCUGACACUGACGCUGAGGCGCGAAAGCUAGGGUAGCAAACGGG